rnacentral:rRNA from 1 species
AGUGAACGCUGGCGGUAGGCCUAACACAUGCAAGUCGAACGGCAGCACAGUAAGAGCUUGCGCUUACGGGUGGCGAGUGGCGGACGGGUGAGGAAUACAUCGGAAUCUACUUUUUCGUGGAGGAUAACGUAGGGAAACUUACGCUAAUACCGCAUACGACCUACGGGUGAAAGCAGGGGAUCUUCGGACCUUGCGCGAUUGAAUGAGCCGAUGUCGGAUUAGCUAGUUGGCGGGGUAAAGGCCCACCAAGGCGACGAUCCGUAGCUGGUCUGAGAGGAUGAACAGCCACACUGGAACUGAGACACGGUCCAGACUCCUACGGGAGGCCGCAGUGGGGAAUAUUGGACAAUGGGCGAAAGCCUGAUCCAGCCAUACCGCGUGGGUGAAGAAGGCCUUGGGGUUGUAAAGCCCUUUUGUUGGGAAAGAAAAGCAGCAGGUUAAUACCCCGCUGUUCUGACGGUACCCAAAGAAUAAGCACCGGCUAACUUCGUG